AAGCAUAUCAAUAAGCGGAGGAAAAGAAACCAACAGGGAUUGCCCUAGUAACGGCGAGUGAAGCGGCAACAGCUCAAAUUUGAAAUCUGGCUUCGGCCCGAGUUGUAAUUUGCAGAGGAUGCUUCUGGCGCGGUGCCUUCCGAGUUCCCUGGAACGGGACGCCAAAGAGGGUGAGAGCCCCGUAUGGUUGGACACCAAGCCUGUGUGAAGCUCCUUCGACGAGUCGAGUAGUUUGGGAAUGCUGCUCUAAAUGGGAGGUAAAUCUCUUCUAAAGCUAAAUACCGGCCAGAGACCGAUAGCGCACAAGUAGAGUGAUCGAAAGAUGAAAAGCACCUUGAAAAGGGGGUUAAAUAGUACGUGAAAUUGUUGAAAGGGAAGCACUUAUGACCAGACUUGGGCCGGGCGGCUCAUCAGGGGUUCUCCCCUGUGCACUCCGCCCGGCACAGGCCAGCAUCGGUUCUCGUGGGGGGAUAAGACCGUCGGGAACGUAGCACCCUCCGGGGUGUGUUAUAGCCCGGCGGACGAUACCCCCGUGGGGACCGAGGUCCGCGCUCCGCAAGGAUGCUGGCGUAAUGGUCAUCAGUGACCC
rnacentral:rRNA from 1 species